CCUACGGGAGGCAGCAGUGGGGAAUAUUGGACAAUGGGGGCAACCCUGAUCCAGCCAUGCCGCGUGAAUGAUGAAGGCCUUCGGGUUGUAAAGUUCUUUUAGCUGGGAAAAUAAUGAUGGUACCAGCAGAAAAAGCUCCGGCUAACUUCGUGCCAGCAGCCGCGGUAAU
rnacentral:rRNA from 2 species